GAUGAACGCUAGCGGCAGGCUUAAUACAUGCAAGUCGAGGGGCAGCAUGAUUGUAGCAAUACAAUUGAUGGCGACCGGCAAACGGGUGCGGAACACGUACACAACCUCCCAAUAAGUGGGGAAUAGCCCAGAGAAAUUUGGAUUAAUACCCCGUAACAUAACGAUGUGGCAUCACAUUGUUAUUAUAGAUUUUUCGCUUAUUGAUGGGUGUGCGGCUGAUUAGAUAGUUGGCGGGGUAACGGCCCACCAAGUCUACGAUCAGUAGCUGAUGUGUGAGCAUGAUCAGCCACACGGGCACUGAGACACGGGCCCGACUCCUACGGGAGGCAGCAGUAAGGAAUAUUGGACAAUGGACGCAAGUCUGAUCCAGCCAUGCCGCGUGAAGGAUUAAGGUCCUCUGGAUUGUAAACUUCUUUUAUAAGGGACGAAAAAAGGCUUUUCUAAGUCGUCUGACGGUACCUUAUGAAUAAGCACCGGCUAACUCCGUGCCAGCCGCCGCAGUAAUAC
rnacentral:rRNA from 1 species